ACGUACGUCAAGUACCAUGAGGGAAGAUGAAAAGGACUUUGAAAGAGAGUUAAAAGUGCCUGAACUCGCUGAAAGGAAAGCGGAUGGAACCAGUCGUGCUUGGCGAGAUUGUUGCGUGCAAAGGUGACUGCUCACUGCUCGUAGCGUAAGCGCAGCAGCGGGUUUCGAUCUGGUCGCGCGCGAUGCUUCUUGCCUUGUUCGUCAUCGUUGGUUUGGAGGCGCGGACAACUCUUGGGACAUGGUAACUCGCCCACGGGCGAGCGAAUGUGCCUUGCAGAACUCACCUCCAAACUGAUGUCUCUUGUUAGGUUCUGUUGCCGUACGCGGCACGUUCUUGACAAAGCGUGGUGACAGAAUGGUUCUAUUCGACCCGUCUUGAAACACGGACCAAGGAGUUUAACAUGUACGCAAGUCGCAAGGUUUAAAACCUUGGGGCGAAAUGAAGGUAAAUUUUACACAUGAGUGUGAUAAUCAUGCAGUGUGGUCCCAUCUCAUUCGCUUGCGAAGGGGUGGAGAAAGAGC
rnacentral:rRNA from 1 species